ensembl:lncRNA
GCCUUUACUGUAUAAAUACAGUCUUGGUGAACAGAAGAUACUUCAAAAACAUUAAAAAAUCUUACUGGCCACAAACGUUUGAGACAUAGUGUAGAUAUGUAUAUAUUUUAUAAAUCAAUUUAUGUAUCUGCUUUGUGGAAACAAUGAUUUAGUUUUUAUCAAAUGCUGUAAUUAAUACAUUUGUCUCAAAUGGUUCUUUUUAACAGCUUAAUCUACUGUCAGUAAAAUCAUUCUGUGUCUCUCAUGUAGGGAUGUCUGCUCUGCACAUCAUCAUACUGAUGCUUUGCUUUACUUCCCUCUUGUUGACUUUUAUAUUAAGUAUUCCAGUCAAAAUCUAUAUAAACAGAAAAGAUACUGGCACAAAACCCAUGUACAUAAAUUAUUUGCAGGUAGUCUGUCCCAACAUCUGUUUGUCUAUAGCAUUUGUUUUGUGGGGUGUAAUUGAAGGGUCUGUUGUUGAGGUAACAAUGUGUGCAACAAUUAAUCUGACGAGGAUCAUUUUAUUAUUUCUUAUGGCCCCAUAUUUUAACUGGAACACAACAGUUUCUGUUGAUCUUCCGGUUUCCUUUCAUAGAAUAAUUGAAUACAUGGGCAUUCCCAUUGCAUAUCUUCUGAUUUCCACAGCGUUUUGCUCAGGUUAAGAAACUAUUUUAGUAAUACUAGUC